AGGAAAAAUGCACAUACUAUUUUAUAGGUGUUGAUAUGGUGACAUCUGAUUGACUAUUUUAACUAUGUUGUCAUAUGACAUUCUAUAAAUCUAUUUGUGUAUUUUUUCUGUAAAUAUAGAUAGCAUUGUUCUUAAAAAUAUUGGCUAUGCUACAUGUACAUGAUAGUUUGCAUACGCAUAAUAUAGUAAAAUGUGAUUGGGCAAAGGCAUAUAUAUUAAUUAGGAACAAGGGCUUAAUUUCUUAUUAAGUAAAACAAGUGCUUAAUUUCUUAUUCUGCAGACAAGGACAUUUCUAUCAUUUGGUGGGUUGUGCAAUUGCUAAUGAUGGCAGAAAUGGGACCCACCCUUGUCUACAACUUUCAAAACUUUUCAUUUAAAAACGUCACAAAAGAUUAUGCUGAGUGUGCUGCACACUCAUUUUGACGGUACACUUACACAAGUGGCCCCACGAAAUGAAUGCA
rnacentral:lncRNA from 1 species